rnacentral:lncRNA from 1 species
AUCAGGGACCAAACCAUCUCGACGAUUAGGUCAACUCUUAACCUAAUCGGGUCAAACCCAACUGAAUCCAAUUCAAUUGGACUUGAUUCAAAAAUAAUUACUCAAUCAAAUUGAGUUAAUUAGCGAUCAAAUCACUAAUUAAACCUCUCAUAAAUAUUGAGUCCAAAUCUGAUGGAUAAUCAGGCAUCAAAAUUCAUCGAUAUGUAACCCUGAUCGAAGAGUCCUAAACCAGUGGG